rnacentral:tRNA from 1 species
GGUCGGUUAGCUCAGUUGGUUAGAGCGUGGUACUAAUAAGCUAUCCGGCUUAUCAUGUAAAUGCCAAGGUCAUGAGUUCGACCCUCAUACUGACCA